GCCAGUGUUGUCUAAGUGGUUUGAGUGCUGGAUUAUAACUCUGGAGACCAGGGUUCAAUUCCUGCUCGGCU